UUAUAAAACAAAACAAAAACCCUACUUAUUAUGUGCUCGAGCACAUAGUUAUAUACACUGUGGAUUUCUGUAUUCUCUACCAGGAGUUUACUCCAAGUACGGCCAGCCCAUAAAUAAGAGAGCAAUUAUUUCUUCCUAGAGAGGGGAGCCAGGACAGAAGUGACAGGGUCUUGUGCGGCCCGGGCUGGUGAUGAUCUUGAUGUCCUGAUCCUGAUGCUCCCUCUUUCAGCUCCCGAGUGCUGGGAUGGCAGGAUAUGGAAGGAUGCGAAGACGAGGAGGAAAAUGAGGUUUCGCCUGUAAGGACCUUGAGAUCCUGUAAGAGGCUGAAGAUGUCAUUGCACAGUUCUCCGAAACCCAGAAGUAACGGAUGCGGAGGACCUCCGUCCUCAGAGUGGAAGUGCCAGGUAAAGACGCGGUGGGGGUGCAGCAGAGGUGCUGGACACGGAGCAGUGCAAGGACCGAGACUCGUGGGAAACCAUCUGAAGAAUGAACCGGAAGAGAGCCCAUUCUAGUGGCCGCUGAAGUCUGGAGGGAAAGUUAUGUGCGAAUCAGUUGCUUAGGAAUCUGGAAUUCUGGUUCCCAUGGGAGCAAGGCCGUAAAAGGAGGCUGAUUUCUCAGGCCAGAGGAUGGAAACAGAUUUACCCAACAUUCUUCAGCCAGAUUACUCACGGUCACUCCCUACCUCCAGGACCAGAGAGAUGAGAGGGCUGGCGUAUGACUCCUUGUGGGUCUGAGACACCCCAGGCCAUCUUCCCGAAUAGGGUUUCAAACAAAUUUGAGAAAUCGUAAGGCUGGUUUUCAUUGUAUUUAAUAAUGAAACCAUCAGCUGACACACACACACACUCGCAACCUCACGUUCGAGUGUUCGGUUUGCAGGAAGUGGUGACAAGUCCUCAGUUAUUAUUGAAUCAGCAGGCAGGCAAGUCUCAGGAUCUCACAGCGGCUGAAGCAGGAGUGUCUGAGGUAAAUGGGUUCUAAUCCUCUAAGCCACUGAUGCUUAGAGUCCGUAGCAAGAAGGGGGCUUAGGAUGUGUGCACACAGGAAGAAGGCUGUGUGACGUAGAGGCCAGGGAUAAGGGUGAUGAACCUAUGGUCCAAGGAAGGCUGCAGAUUGCCCACAAACCAGCCAAAGCAGGGUGAGAGGGGGUUGGAUAGCUUCUCUCUUACAACUGUCAAAAGGAUCAAUGCUCUUGAUAUCUUGGCCUCACUUAGACUUCUGGCCUCCAGAAUCAUAAGCCCUUAGAUAACAGAGCUGUUGUUGAAGUCACCCUGUGAGCAGACCAAUGAAUGUAUUGGAGCAAGCAGUCUCCGAUAAAUGGCUGGCAGCAGGGUUUCCACUGCUGUCUACAACAGGAAUCUUUUGUUUGUUUGUUUUUGCUUUUCGAGACAGGGUUUCGCCCUGGCUAUCCCUGAAUUCUCUUUGCAGACCAGGCUGGCCUGGAACUCAUAGAGAUCACCCCCUGCCUCUUCCUCCUGAGUACUGAGAUUAAGGCCUAGGCCACCACCACCCAGCUCAGUCUUUUAUUCUAUACAGAUAUUUUAUUUAAAAGGCAAAAUCACUUAUGAUGUUUUAGAAUAUGCUUUUUUUUC